GUGGAUUAGAUACCCUGGUAGUCCACACCGUAAACGUUGGGCGCUAGGUGUGGGAUCCAUUCCACGGGUUCCGUGCCGUAGCUAACGCAUUAAGCGCCCCGCCUGGGGAGUACGGCCGCAAGGCUAAAACUCAAAGGAAUUGACGGGGGCCCGCACAAGCGGCGGAGCAUGCGGAUUAAUUCGAUGCAACGCGAAGAACCUUACCUGGGUUUGACAUACACGGGAAGCCUGCAGAGAUGUGGGUCUCUUUGAUACUCGUGUACAGGUGGUGCACGGCCGUCGCCAGCU
rnacentral:rRNA from 1 species